rnacentral:rRNA from 1 species
AUUGAACGCUGGCGGCAUGCCUUACACAUGCAAGUCGAACGGUAACGGGCCUUCGGGUGCCGACGAGUGGCGAACGGGUGAGUAAUACAUCGGAACGUGCCCGAUCGUGGGGGAUAACGAGGCGAAAGCUUUGCUUAUACCGCAUACGAUCUACGGAUGAAAGCAGGGGGCCGCAAGGCCUUGCGCGGACGGAGCGGCCGAUGGCAGAUUAGGUAGUUGGUGGGAUAAAAGCUUACCAAGCCGAAGAUCUGUAGCUGGUCUGAGAGGAUGAUCAGCCACAGUGGGACUGAGACACGGCCCAGACUCCUACGGGAGGCAGCAGUGGGGAAUUUUGGAAAAUGGGCGCAAGCCUGAUCCAGCCAUGCCGCGUGCAGGAUGAAGGCCUUCGGGUUGUAAACUGCUUUUGUACGGAACGAAAAGCCUUCUUUUAAUACAGGAGGGUCAUGACGGUACCGUAAGAAUAAGCACCGGCUAACUACGUG